rnacentral:rRNA from 1 species
GUAAGGAAUAUUGGUCAAUGGAGGGAACUCUGAACCAGCCAUGCCGCGUGCAGGAUGACUGCCCUAUGGGUUGUAAACUGCUUUUGUCGAGGAAUAAACGUAUCUACGUGUAGAUGCCUGAAAGUACUCGAAGAAUAAGGAUCGGCUAACUCCGUGCCAGCAGCCGCGGUAAUACGGAGGGUGCAAGCGUUAUCCGGAUUCACUGGGUUUAAAGGGUGUGUAGGCGGGCUUGUAAGUCAGGGGUGAAAUCCUACAGCUUAACUGUAGAACUGCCUUUGAUACUAUAGGUCUUGAAUAUUGUUGAGGUGGGCGGAAUACAUCAUGUAGCGGUGAAAUGCUUAGAUAUGAUGUAGAACACCGAUUGCGAAGGCAGCUCACUAAGCAAAUAUUGACGCUGAGGCACGAAAGCGUGGGGAUCAAACAGGAUUAGAUACCCCAGUAGUCC